UUUGAACAGCCAGGUGUAGAUUAGAUAAGUAUGUUAAAACUCACCGAACAAUCGAGAAAACAAAUCGUUUUAUUCUCUUUCAAUAACGAUUCAUUUCCAUCUGAAUCGCAAAGGUUAAUCUCGUGUUUCUUCUUGUAAUCGUUGUUUAUAUUAUGAACGACCUUUGACCCGUCUUUGUUGACCUUCGUUGUUUGCAAAUCUGGGAGAUAUAUUGAAGGUGGGUGAUGCUGUUCUCUUUGCCCAGAAGGAAUCGAGGUUAUAUACUUGUCAUCAUCACGAAGGUCUAAUUCGGUGAUUCAGAUUUAACAUUGGCUUAUUAAAGAGGUGUAAAAUUUCAAGGAAAGCAGAAUCGGGGCCAUCAAGCAGAAGAUAAUGUCAAUCAAAGCGGUUCAAUGGUGUUUAGAGGUGUUUAAUGAAAGCUGAGAUGGAUUUGGCGUCCCUUUAUUGUCUGGAAAAGACUGCCACUCUCACAUGGUGUGGACGUUAUGGGAGAGUAAAGAAUAUUCUGAUUUACAUAGAUAGAAGUUGACUUGUUUUGAGUUUGAUCCCCUAACGUUGUGCAUUUUCAGAGGUUAAAUCUUUGGCAUUUUUCUUGAUGUAUGGGUUAUGAAGAAUUUGUCGACACCGCUGCACAUGACUGAGAGUAUAGUCUCAAAUAAAAGGUCAGAGAUUGUUUUCCUGGGGUGUUCGAGACACUUGUCAUCAGUGUGAGCAUUCGCAAGUUGUAGCCGUGGGGGAUUCAAAGGAAUAACAAGGGUCAGACCAUCAUUAGGAAGACUGACAAACAACAUGUAAUGACAAUCAGUUUACAUAUUAUGAAAAAGGGUCUAAUGUGAAUAAGUGAUGUAGUAGUAAACUCACGAUUCAGUAAAGAUAUCUACUUUUGGAAAUGGUGGAUUCACAAAUACUUGUGAAGAAUUGUAUGCGUUGGACACGCUUUUUGUACCUUCAAAUUUUAAAAUCAUAUAAUAUAAACAUGAAUAGAGUUCUGAUUAAAUAACAAUAAUAACAUCCUU